UAGGCAGUACAUUGAGAUGUAUACUGUAUUCAUGGGGCGAUUACAGACUAUUCUCCCACCUAGUACAAACAUCCCAGAGGCCUAUGCUCAUGGAUCAAGUGAGGAACAGGCUUUUAUUCAGAACUUGGCACUAUUUUUCACCUCAUUUUACAAGUCGCAUAUUCGGGUUCUGGAAUCCACUCAGGAGAGUAUAGCUGCAUUGCUAAUGGGUCUUGAAUAUCUUAUUAACAUCUCAUAUGUUG
rnacentral:misc_RNA from 1 species